UCCAAGAUGGCUGAAAGGCUUUUUUCAUAAGUUGCGCUACCGUAUUGUAUCUAUCGUGAUGAUAAGGUACACCGGGACCAAGAUGUGUAGAAUAAAGGUGUGACCGUGUCGUCAAUAAGUGCGCGAGGGGAAACGGUAUAAACAUACAGAGGACUGUGGAAAGGGAUUUGACUGCAAAGCGGGGGAAAAAUAUUGCUGUCAAGUUUGACUCUGAUGAACAUUCCACGAACGAGAAUAUUUCUGGAUUAUAAAAAUCAUUUAACAUCAAUUAACAUCGAAUAACAUUACAAUUGUUUGUUAUCAAAACAUUUGAAUUGUGCCAAGAAAUAAGGAUAGUUUAUUUGGGCAGAGGAAUCACCUGUGAGGAAUUUCGAGAUGGCUAAUUUCUGUGCCGUUAAGGGUUGCGAAAUAACUCGUUCUCGAUACAAAAAUGAAGCUGAAUGUAUUACCGUGCAUAGAUUUCCCAAAAGAGAGGAUCUGCUCUUGAAAUGGAUCGCUUAUUGUGGACAACAAAAACAGUGGAAACCUCUAGGUAACCAAGGAAUUUGUUCCAAACAUUUCGAUUCCUCUUGCUAUAAAAGGAAUGAAGAGUGCGAAAAUGUCUCAUACUCGGUUGAGGGGCGUCGAAGAAUCAAUGCUGAUGCAUUACCAGGGAAUCCUGAACACUGGACUCAAUAGGGAGAAGCUGAAAAUCAACCCGCCGACAGAGCAAGAAGUAGUAGUAAUGAAAUAGAAAAUGUCGAGAUAUCUUGUGAGUUUUUCUUCUUCAUUUCGUUACACAAAUAUGUUGUUCAUAUGUUUUAUGUUGUACUGAGAUGCAACAUAUUAUGAAUACUUUUAUUACAUAUUGUUGAAAUAUGUUUUUUUUUUCUGAACAGCUGUUCAAUUUUAACAAGUUGAUCUAUAGAAAUCAUAUCCAUAUGUUUCAAAAUUGACGUGUUGCAUACUGUUGAUUAAUGAAAAAUGAGUAUCAAUAGUUCAAUAGAUUUGCAAUAAUCUCAUUGAGUAUAAGUUUAAAACCAAUUCAUUACCGAUUGAUAAAAAUCUGUAAGGCUUUUCUGUUCAGAUUAGUAUAGAAACCGUCAGUUUUGUUCAUCGAUAGCAGCGAUACUAUGCCGAAGAAUAUCACCGCUGGGGCGGAUGCAGUCGAAUAUAUGAAUCUGAUGCACGUUUAUAGACUGAAUGUCUACUCAAUGCUUAAACUCAAUACUCUGGUUCUGACUAGAAGCGCAGCGCAGGAAAUUGAAUCGAAAUUAAGCGAACAUUCACAUCGCAACGAUGCGAAGUCAUUUAUGACGAAAUUCCAUGUCGAUCGGUAAAUCAUUAGCAUCAUGAAAUAAAAUCGA